ensembl:lncRNA
GGAGGGGACAGUUCUUCCAGGUUUGGGAAAGGGGCGGGGAGCUGAAGCGAUGAGGUAAUUGGAGCGGUGACCGGUCGGUCCUCGCGCGCCUCCUCGGGUCCCUGCAUCGAGUUGUGAAGGCACAGGCUGGGCGCGACUCAGGCACCCUGGAGGGACUCUCCGAGGGGUGCCGGGCUGCAAACCGGAGCCCGUGAAAUCCCCUCUGGGGAAGCAGAGGUGGGCCGGUUCCGAUCCCGACGUUCCCUUCGGGCGUGCGGAGAAGCGUCUUAAGAGGGCUGACUCCGACCUUCACGCACGUUAACCCUCAAACCGGUUUAGCUUCGGCGUUUUGGAACCCAGCCCACCGAGCCGCGGGGAUCGCCUUGGCGUGCAACUCAGGAAAGUUUUAAGGGUCCUCCCCCUCAACCCCCCGUCUGCACGUGCACCCUCGCCUUUCCUGCCUGUGAAAGCUGGUGACCACCCUGCUCUCCUUUCUCUUUCUGCAGGUCCGGAAAUCUGCUCAGAGCACGGAACUACCCAGCUCGAGCCUGGGUAGACGACCCGCGCACUCCUCUCGCCUCUAAUUCGGGAUCAUUAAUUUCAUCGGAAAUGGGGUAACCAGUGUAGGAGAUAGAGAAAGCAAACCGAGCAUCAGAUGGCAGUUCUCGUGAAUCCGCGCGGUAAGAACUUCCUCUGGACUCAGUUUUUAAAGUGCAGUUCUCAGUUCCUCGCCACCCGACCCUCCGUGGGUACCACCGCCAGGCAUUAGCUGGAAGGGAAGGACUCUUCUUUGGACUGGUGGUACCUGGCCAACAGGUGUGCCACCUGGAGGAGGAGAAGGCACAGCCAUGCUACAGGGAGCUCAUUGCGGCGGCGUUCUCCUGGCUGCAGAUAAUUCUGGAAGGCCGGAUCCAGCUCAAGCACCAACAUUUCUGCGAAGUUAUCACAAGAGUUUGUGGCUCUGCCCAACGUGAGUCACAGAAGAGACACGGGGGAGAAGGAGCAGCCACAUGAAGACAGAGGCAGAGACUGGAGCUAUGCUCCCCCCAGCCAAGGAAAGCCAAGAAUGGCCAGAAACCACGGAGAGCUAGAAGAAGCAAGGAAAGAUUCUUCCGUAAAGCCUCAGAGGGAACAGGUCCCUGCUGACACCUUGACGUUAG